CAGUCGCCGCGGUAAGACAGAGGAUGCAAGCGUUAUCCGGAAUGAUUGGGCGUAAAGCGUCUGUAGGUGGCUUUUCAGGUCCGCCGUCAAAUCCCAGGGCUCAACCCUGGACAGGCGGUGGAACCUACCAAGUUGGAGUACGGUAGGGGCAGAGGGAAUUUCCUGUGGAGCGGUGAAAUGCGUUGAGAUCGGAAAGAACACCAACGGUGAAAGCACUCUGCUGGGCCGACACUGACACUGAGAGAUGAAAGCUAGGGGAGCAAAUGGGAUUAGAUACCCCCGUAGUCCCUGUCUCUUAUAC
rnacentral:rRNA from 1 species